UUUUUUGUAUUUUGAUUUGUCAUUUUUGUUUGAUAUUUCAAAAGUAUUGUAUGAACAUUUUGGCGCAAAAUUGAUUCCAUAAGACAUCAAGGUCAGAUUUUCAAUAAAAACAGACAAGACAGAUUUUCUGUUUCGUUUUGCUCUUGAGAACCAUCAUAAAAUGCUAUAGUGCAGGGGUUUUCAAAGUGUGGGAGAGUCAGCCCCCCCUCAGAGAGCAAAUAAACAACAGCGCCCCCCCCCCUUACAAUUUUUGUUGCUAUACUUAAUGUUCCAGUCGUAUUUUUAAAAAAUGGUUGUUGUACACUUUUAUUUUUUUCUUUUACACAUUUUAAACAUCUGUGCUUUUUGAAAACAUCUUUUUCUUUUACACGUUUUAAACAUCUCAUAGCAUCGUUAGCUAGCACUUCUUGGCAGACAACACACUGUGGCAGUGGAGCAUCUUCAGAUCCAGUCCAUGAAAAUCCAAACUUUAAAUAAUCGUGGUCAUACUUCCUUCUUUUUUUGCUUGGCUCAGACUCUGUCUCCUCACUCACUGUAGCUUUAGGUACUAAAAAUCGAUCCAUUUUGUCUCUGGCAAAGGCUAGCUGAAGUUCGCAAUAGUAACUUAUUCUGGUUUAUUUUUCCUCACGUUGCGCCCCCCCCCCCGAAGAACUCUGGCGCCCCCUAGGGGAGGCGUGCCCUGCACUUUGAAAAGCCCUGCUAUAGAGGAUCCACGCAAAUGGCACACGUGUAACAAGUGUUGCCAGGCAAAACAAACCUCGUCCGGCAGCACUUAUAUGUUGAUAAUGGUAAUAUUUCUCACUCAUCAGCUGUCACGUUAUAGUCCUAUGAAAAUCCAUGACCUUGAGUUUGACAUUUCAGAAUCAUUCAAGGUCAUAGAGGCAACUCAAAGCCCAUAUGGCACUUCUUAUAUGUUGAUAAACAUCUGGCUAUCAUGAACCAUUUUAAAGUUCCAGCCCUUUGAAAACCCAUGACCUUCAGUUUGACCUUUCAAGGUCAAAGAUCAUGGUGCCAAAUGAAAGCCCAUAGGGCACUUCGUAUAAGCUGAUAAUGGUAAAUAUCUGCCUACCAUCAACCGUUUUCAAGUUACAGCCCUCUGAAAAUCCAUGACCUUGAGUUUGACCUUUCAAGGCCAUAUUGGAGUUCCUAUAUGCUCAUAAUAGUAAACGUCUAUCUAUCGGCAACCGUUUGCGUUAUAAUGGAAAAUUAUUUUGACCAAAAGGUUGACCUUUCUGGUGGUAACCUUCACCUUGACCUGAGUACCCCCAAAAUUUAAUCAGGUAAUCUACGGACCGUUGCCUACCUACCCUAAGUCAAUCGGUGCAACCGCCUAGACGCUAGAUUGUUAAGACAGACAGACAGACAAACAAACAAACCGCACUUCCUGCUGAUUCCAUCACGGGUGAGGUAAAAAUGAUCACACGCUAUAAAUACUCGCGGGUGACACGUCCGUCCACAGCCUUUGACUUGACGCUUUGUACAGUUCACUGCUGCACAUGCAGGCGUCUUUCUUGUAAUUUUUCUCACCAACUGCAUCAAUAACGUGUCCAGUUUUAUGUAGCUUCCGGUAGCCGCUCUGCUCCGUCAUGCGAGUGGUAAGAUGGCUUCACUCUGACGAGCCUAUGAGCUCUCCAGGUUUUUACGUCGAGCUCAGUGUUGCACACCCACUGAAGCACAAUCUGGCAGGUUUUACCUCGGUGGAUUACUUGGUGCAAAAGGAUGGCAGGCGAUCUUUUCAGAAUCAGGAACGUGCAGGUCUGCCAAAACACUUAACGACACCAAGCAAAAUAAAUCCUAACACGACACAUGUAACAUCAUUUAGUUAACCACAUCAGGAACGAUUAGUUAGUGUGAACGCAGGGUCAGUCUCUUUAUCAAACAUCAAAACUCUCACGGCAGUCCCUGACUGGUUCUUUCCCUACCAAGCCUUUUAAAAAAAAAAAAAGCCACCUUGAUAUCUGUUUUCAAGCUAAUGCAUAUUCCUGAUAUUGAUUCUGUAUUAAAGCUUGUCUUUACAAUUUUAUUAAAUAUAGAUUUAUGUUAGGGUAUAUUAUUGUCCAAAAAAAUUUAUCAAAUAUAUGUAUGUUUUUACUGUUCCCAGUGUUAUAAAGCUUAAACAGUGCAUGUGUGCUUUGUGUUGCUUUUUUUUUUUUUUUAAUGUGUAGCCUUAAACAAGCACAAAUAUACUUUUCUUUGUACAGAUUCAGUAUUGUGAUGUAUGAAAUGAUACAGAUAUUUUCUCUAUAAUUCCUAUCAGGGCUUCAGGCAGCGUGUUUAACAUCACCCUUUGUAAGGCUUUAGACGCGACACGCAUGCAGUCUCCUGGGUGGUCAUGAAUGCACUCUAGUGAAUUGUGUUUGGCGUUAUUGCUGGAUAUUUCUGUGAAACCUUUGGUGCAGAGACGACAUCGGAUGUGUCGAGGGCAGCGGUGACUCAGUGGUUGGUUAUUGGUGGGGAAAUUUAGGAAUACUCUCUAAUUUUCCUUGAUGCUUGCAUUCGUCAGGCUUUUAUUAAGGACAUUUCAGCUGUGAGGACAGAGCAGCCACUCACACCUCGGAGACACUCACUUGUAAGUUACUUUGGAUAAAAGCCUCAGGUUAAUGAGCAAAUGUAAAUACUUGGGUGCUUCCUAUGUUUAACCUUUUAUGUUAUGAAUUCCUAACCCCCAUUCUUGUCUAAGAAAAGACAGGAUGCGCUGUCCUAUGACAGCAUGACUCCAAAUAUUUAGUCUUUAUACCGCAACGUUUUUAAGAAUUAAUUAAAAGAAUGACUGUAGAUAGUCAUUUCCUCACCAGCCUCUUUUCUCUCUCACAGCUUGCUGUACUAUAUUGAUUUAUUCUAUCCAUAAUCACUGGAUAUGAGCAACCGCGUGCUCGGAUUGGCUACUCUACUACUAGGAUAUCAGCUCAUAUACCGUGAGUAGAGAAAAACAAAAUGGCAGAGCGUGUUGCUGAACAAACCGAGGACGAAAUAAAAGUAUUUGUUAAGAACGUCUCUCUUCUCCCCCCCAAAUAAUUAUAGCAUUUUUCACAAAUUGCUACUGCCAUUUGUUUAAAGAUUAUUGAAUUUGCGAAAAAUAAAAAUGCUCCGUUUCUCAAAAUCCAGUGAAUGUGGAUCGAAUAAAACAGUUAUUCCAUUCAAUCUCAUCGUACAUGGCUUAUAGCUAACUUGGUGCUACGCACCUCAUCGGCUGUCAGCUCAUGUACGACUUGAUUUCGUGGAAUAACUUAAAUAAACCGCUGACACUGGAGACACUAUAAAUGUCUCCUUAUGUCUUUGAAACAACGUUAAAUUUGUUUAUUAAGGUUUGGAUUACGUGGCGCAUCCACCAUACAAGUCCUGAUAGCGUAUUUAAUUCGUUACUAACUCCAACACAGUGAAAGCCCUUUCUUCACAAGUCUCAGCUUGUUCAGACGCCAGGCUCGGAGUGCACAAUAUAGCAGUUGUGGGAUUCGAUCCUUAACCACUGAGCCAUCACUUCCUGUCAGGCCGAUGAGCUGAAUGAGAAGGCAAGUGAUGAGUGGGAUAUUGGAUAUGUGAAAACAUCGACAAGGUGGCCCACGUGUGCAAACGCACCUCGUGAUCUGCAUGCGGAUGUCCCACACGUAGUGAUGUCACUUUAAAUUCACACUUCAUGUAGCAAAACAUCUGAUCAGGAAGUGAGAGAGUGAAGCAUGGAAAAAGAAACGAGGACAUGCACUGGCUUUGGAUAGAAGACGCGUCUGCUAAAUUCAUGCAUGUAAAAAUCAAUCGUGUGAUGAUACAGGAUGUCUUGAAAUGAUGUACUGUACCUCUGCUUACUGGAAUGUGGAGGGAAUUCCUGUAUGUGCAUGUCAGAAACAUAGUGAAGGAAAUAUUCAGAAGAAAAUCACCGUGUUAUCUGUGUAGUCAUGUUUUGGGUGAAUGUAGGAGCAGACUAGUAGACGCAAUGGUGGUGUUCAGAAUAUUCCCAAAUUAAUAGCAUUAAUGGAUGAAGGAAAUUAAAAUACCUUUUAAUGAAUGCUCCUGAAAUAACUUGCUAGCACUAUAAUAAUAAUAAAAAGGCAUCUUACCUAAAAACUUUCUACUAGCUAUGUUUGUUCUCCAACAAGGUGCAAUUUGACGUGUUUCUGGCUGCACAUUAAAACACACCAUAGCUGUUUCUCUGGAACAAGCAGCACGUGACCUCUCUCCUUCUCCCCGUGCGGUUCAGGACCCUGAAACUGCAUGCAUGUUUUGAUUUGAUUUGAAGCAUGACAUUUUAGAUCACUUUUUGGCUCUUGAUGCUGUUUUUGUUGGGUAGAUACCACGCUGGCAAGAAAAAAAAAAAAAAAAAAAACCCUGACGUGAAAGAUCAUUUCACGUUAGCAAUGACUAAACUGUGUCAAAUCAUUUCACGUCACAUUCUUACAGAAAAUGUCCUUAGUACCACCGUCACCUUUAAUAUUCUGUGUUAUGAUAAACUCGUAAGUAAGUGGGGGUGGUGAAAACAAAUAUGAGAAAUGUAUGUAUAGUAUAUUCUUCUUUUGUGUACAAUAUAAGCUGGUUUAUUACUCUUCUGUUCAUAUUCUUGUGAAAUAAAAAGUUAUUUUAUCACAA